rnacentral:rRNA from 1 species
GAGUUUGAUCCUGGCUCAGGACGAACGCUGGCGGCGUGCCUAAUACAUGCAAGUCGAGCGGACAGAUGGGAGCUUGCUCCCUGAUGUUAGCGGCGGACGGGUGAGUAACGCGUGGGUAACCUGCCUGUAAGACUGGGAUAACUCCGGGAAACCGGGGCUAAUACCGGAUGGUUGUUUGAACCGCAUGGUUCAAACAUAAAAGGUGGCUUCGGCUACCACUUACAGAUGGACCCGCGGCGCAUUAGCUAGUUGGUGAGGUAAUGGCUCACCAAGGCAACGAUGCGUAGCCGACCUGAGAGGGUGAUCGGCCACACUGGGACUGAGACACGGCCCAGACUCCUACGGGAGGCAGCAGUAGGGAAUCUUCCGCAAUGGACGAAAGUCUGACGGAGCAACGCCGCGUGAGUGAUGAAGGUUUUCGGAUCGUAAAGCUCUGUUGUUAGGGAAGAACAAGUACCGUUCGAAUAGGGCGGUACCUUGACGGUACCUAACCAGAAAGCCACGGCUAACUACGUGCCAGCAGCCGCGGUAAUACGUAGGUGGCAAGCGUUGUCCGGAAUUAUUGGGCGUAAAGGGCUCGCAGGCGGUUUCUUAAGUCUGAUGUGAAAGCCCCCGGCUCAACCGGGGAGGGUCAUUGGAAACUGGGGAACUUGAGUGCAGAAGAGGAGAGUGGAAUUCCACGUGUAGCGGUGAAAUGCGUAGAGAUGUGGAGGAACACCAGUGGCGAAGGCGACUCUCUGGUCUGUAACUGACGCUGAGGAGCGAAAGCGUGGGGAGCGAACAGGAUUAGAUACCCUGGUAGUCCACGCCGUAAACGAUGAGUGCUAAGUGUUAGGGGGUUUCCGCCCCUUAGUGCUGCAGCUAACGCAUUAAGCACUCCGCCUGGGGAGUACGGUCGCAAGACUGAAACUCAAAGGAAUUGACGGGGGCCCGCACAAGCGGUGGAGCAUGUGGUUUAAUUCGAAGCAACGCGAAGAACCUUACCAGGUCUUGACAUCCUCUGACAAUCCUAGAGAUAGGACGUCCCCUUCGGGGGCAGAGUGACAGGUGGUGCAUGGUUGUCGUCAGCUCGUGUCGUGAGAUGUUGGGUUAAGUCCCGCAACGAGCGCAACCCUUGAUCUUAGUUGCCAGCAUUCAGUUGGGCACUCUAAGGUGACUGCCGGUGACAAACCGGAGGAAGGUGGGGAUGACGUCAAAUCAUCAUGCCCCUUAUGACCUGGGCUACACACGUGCUACAAUGGACAGAACAAAGGGCAGCGAAACCGCGAGGUUAAGCCAAUCCCACAAAUCUGUUCUCAGUUCGGAUCGCAGUCUGCAACUCGACUGCGUGAAGCUGGAAUCGCUAGUAAUCGCGGAUCAGUAUGCCGCGGUGAAUACGUUCCCGGGCCUUGUACACACCGCCCGUCACACCGCGAGAGUUUGUAACACCCGAAGUCGGUGAGGUAACCUUUUAGGAGCCAGCCGCCGAAGGUGGGACAGAUGAUUGGGGUGAAGUCGUAACAAGGUAGCCGUAUCGGAAGGUGCGGCUGGAUCACCUCCCU